AGCAAUUACACAUCACAAGCACCUGCUGAGCAGCGUGCAGGUCUCUUCAACUCAUGUUCUCUAGGGUGGGGAGGCCUAGCAGGUGUGUAAUGAGCUGCAGCUGAGCCUAAUCAGUGUGAGAUGCAGAAAACCUGCUGGUGAGUCAGCACUGAUCUUUUUGUGCCUUUGUGGAGACAGUGUGCUGGAGUCUACAGAAAUACAGCAUGUCUUAGGAAGUCUGAGCUUGUGUCGAGUUUUGUUGGACCUAGUCGGGCUCAAGCCCAUCAUCAGGAGUUGCUCUACUCUUUGUUGCGUUUCCAGGCAAGCAGCGUUGGAUUGUUGCAGUGAAUUCCUGCCUUAAGAUUGGCUUCAUCUCAAGGACAAGAGAAGACGACCUCAAGGGCACCUGGAUACUGGGGAUCAGCUGGGGAUGAAGUGGCACCUGUAUGCAAUACAUCUCUCUGGAAGGACAUGAUACGGGUUGGAAAGUCAAGCUGAGGAUUACAUCUGGAAUGUACAUAGGCAUGAACCCUAAUGAAGAUGAAGUGCUACUUUUUUUUUUUGCUUUUCUUUCCUCAUAAAGGAGAGUUCUUCAAAGACUUCCUGAUGUCCUAAUCUCUGAUGUUUUGAGAUGAUUAUUUGCUAUCAAGCCACUUCUGUAUUGGGUGGUGGUGUAGAUGUUUGCCUAGCAAUUAGUCCAAUAGACGAUGUGACAAACAACUUGUUUCCAGUGUAUAUGCAUAUUUUUAGGUACCUUUGACCACUAGUUAUUUACUGCUUCCCUGUUCCUCUUAGUUUUACUCAUACUACCUGGCAGACUAAGGUACUAGUUAGACUGAGCAAAAGUGACAAGACCAAUCAUCAAUGAGUGCUCUCUUAGCAACGAGAGGAUCUGUUCUCAUUGCAGAAUUGGCAGCAGAGGUCUUGAUAAAAACAAAUGUGCAAGAAAGAUAGCAUGAGUGCCUUACAGAGAAUUUGAAGGAUCCAGGCUUGGUUAAAGCAAAUCUCUUUCAAUGGCAAUGUGACCAGGGUCUGGCUGCAUGGUCUGCUCAUACCUGACCUUACAGUAGGAGAUGUACGAGUUCAUUGUCCAGAAUGCUGUCUGUUACAUCCUCCAUGCUUCCCAGUGAUCUUUACACAUAUAACUUAGUUAAAAGGGCUAUGAAUUAUAGUGGCUCUUCAUAAGAGAAAAAGGGUAGAAUUUCUUAGUGAUUUGGCUUUGUGUAAUGAAAGUUUUUACAUACAGUGUGGGCAGAAAUUUCUCUGGAUAGGUUUUUAAAUUAGUCUCAUAAUGCUGCUCUCUUUCAGCAUUGAGCUGCAGUGAAUUUUCCAGUGAGAUGUUAAAGGCUGCAACUAUACUUUUUUUGUGCUGAGAAUCAAAUGGUCAGUUGAGGCAGAGAGAGAGGAGUUCCUCUUCAGGGUGUUGGAGAGUUGCAAUAUUAUAUUCCCUCUGCUCUAUAGAUCUACUGUUGAUGCUGUAGAGGAAGAGAGCUGUAAAUGCUGUUGGGCUUGGUGGUCUGAAGAGUGAACACUCCUCCGUUUCUCUAGGACCUAGCUUUUAGGUCCUAAUAGUCCUGACAUAUCAGAUGAUGCAGUAGGAUUGAAGCUGGUACUUUGAUCUUCAGGGAAAUUAUGCUGAGCUAUUCUUAGAGCAUUUCUAUUGUGUGUGGGGAGGAAAGUCUAGUUUAGGGAAAUGACAUAGCAGGCUAUCAGUGCUGGUGUGAAACUGCUAGCAAGUGGAGAUGGUGAUGGAAAGUGUUAGGUGGGUUUUGCUGCCACACUGGUGCAGCUGACUUGUUCCCUCACUCACAUAAAGGAGAAGUAGGACCUGCCAUUGGGCUGCAGUGAGAAUUAGGCUUUGUUGCGGAGCAAGAGUGUGUAACAGGAACGGCAAGCCUGAAGUGAUGCCUUAGGCUGAGGUUUUACACAGAACUUCUGCAGAAGCCAGGGCAAUGCUAUUUUAACUUUCUAGGUGUGAUCCUUAGCCAGUGUGAAUGAUUUCAGUGCAGCUGUUAGAAACUGUUAGAAAGGGGAUGAAGGGGCCUUUGAAAUAUUGUGCCCUGCCACGGCCUGGGAUUAGUUUUUAACAGCAUACUUGGAGAAUAAUUAUCUGAUCUUGUAUUCUCUGAUGCCAUCUUUGUAAUACUGCACUGGCCUUAGCUUUAGGGGUGUUUGUGUUUGUUUUGUUUUUCUCCCUGUAGUGUCAGACCAGCAGUUCUUGAACAGACCUCAGCAUAGAAUAUGGUUUUCCUCACUAUCUUUCCAGCUGGGCUAAUGCUAAUAUAUGUAGAAUGGGGGAGGGAGGGAGUUCAUGUAUAACGUAGCUACCUUUUGCUGGAGGAUCUUGCAAACAUUGCUGGAGUUUUGCGUGGGGAAAGAAUGAGUAACAGCCUUGGUAUGGGAAGAAAGCUCCAGCUAUGGAUCCAUCCUAGAGAAACUCUUGUCUUGAUUGUAGUACAACUCAAGUUUUCUGCACAGAAUAAAGAGGACAAAGUGAUUAGUCUACAACCACAUUCUUGACAAGAAGUGUUUAAAAAAAAAAAAGUGUAUAAUUGAGCAUAAGUACUCUAAUAUUUGUCUCUGUUUCCUCAGUUCCCUCUCUUUGUAAAUUAUAAAGUAGGGAUUUCCCCAGAGUUAUAAUUUAAUUUGACCUUCUAGUGGAGGAGCUUUAUCACAACACUGAUUCCAAAUGAGCACGUGUUACCUCCAGUUUUGACUGGAGACUACAGUGAGUGCACGGCCACUGCUUGUGUGUCCUGUCCAGUCCCCCCAGCCACCUCCAGGGUUAGCUCUGCAAGAAUAAUUGGUGCCUCAUCUUCUCUCCCACUCAUAUGGUCCCCCUUCUUCCUUAUCAGUUCUUAGAGGACCACAGAUGGGAUGUGUGAGUGUCCUUUUGCUAUGACCUCAGUGGUACACAGAAGUAUGGGGGCUCCUGAUGCCUGGCUCCAGCUUCUUUCACAGAUUUGGACCUUUUUGGGGCUGUUCUUUAAACAAUUGAUCAUUUGAAACAACUGCUUUGAGUGCUAUAUUAAAAUGAUGGUACCUCAUCUUAUGCAUGUCGUAUACAAAGUUCUUCACGCAUGUGAAAAUAAGGCUAAUAAUUAAUUCUCACAGCUCUAGCUAUGAAAGAUGAUUGCUUUUCUCUGAAAGGAGCAUACUGAUCUGAACAAACCAGGAGACCAACCAAGGGUGUUUUUCCUACAGCAUUUUGAAAAUAUAAAUAGAUUGUGACAUUUCUGUUUUAUGAGGGCACUUGAAGUCCAGAGAGGUCAGAAAAGCCCAUAGGUACUGAAGCUCUAUUCACCUUCUGUUGUAGGUGCUGAGUCCAUACUGGAGGUUUCUGCACAGCUGAGAUCCGUCAGAGCCCAAUCUUGCUUUCACACCAGCUUAUUUUUGAAAACAUUUCUAGUAGAACAAUAUGAUACAUUAUGAGACGAGCAGCCCAGCUGAUGAAGUGCAGGAUGAAAGUGGCUCAUCUCUUUGCUCUUUUACUUUAGAUUUAGCACUGCAAAAUCACUUUUCCCUGUGAAAGCACUCGAUUUAUACCAGCACUCCAGGAGACAGUUUGCAAGGCACUGAAAAAUUUUGCUGUACUCUUGAGCAAACAGUCACUUUCCCCCACCACUGCCACGUGCACCAUUUAGACGUGCUAUGAGCACAGAGGCACUGAUGGGAGGCUUCCUCCAGCUCUGUGCGAUGGCAAUGCUCCCUCCAGGAGAGAAACUACACUGGAGAAGAGAGUUCAAAUGGGAUAAUCCAGAGAAGUUUCAUUCAUUCAGCCAGUGGAGGGUUUGCCAAACUAGCACCUUCCAAAAUUUCUAAGACUUGUGUGGAGCUAAAGAGUAGAGAACCUUAAAGAGGUUACAGGUAGCAGACUUUUCCCCAGCUGGAGAGGCACCACUGGUGUCCUGCUGAGUGGAUUGCUGGUACCUGGGUCCUGCCAGCAGGAUGAUGGGUCUUGAGGAAGCAGGAGGUAUCUGCAUAAGCAGUGGGGAAGAUGAGUCACCUUUUUAUUCAGUUGAGUGCAAUGUGAUAGGUGCGUUUGGCUUAGCAGUCAGAUCUUGUAGGGUUGAUUUCAAAAGCAGUUUGUUUUCUUUCCAUUAAUCUGUUAAGUGUUUUUUCUGCUUUAUUGGAGGCAGAAGGAAAUACAAGUUCAUUCCACUCCAUUCACCUUUAAAAAUGUGUGAAUGAUGCAUGGCUGAUGGGGUGCUGAUGCAUCACCACUUCCCUGGGCUUUGCUGCAUUCACUUACUCAUCCACGUUUUUUCUGGCUAGAGCUGUCUGAACAAACUAGGUGAACCAGGACAGGAUGACUGGCAGAGCUCUGUCACCAUGCAGGGUGUUUUUUUUUUUUUCCUUAUGCAUAAAACAGUGACAUCACUGCGAAGCAGACUUCAGUCUGAGUGCAGCUCUCUUCCUUGGCACAUCCAUGGAUGAGGAAUGAGUUCAGGACUUCUGUGUGCACACAGGUUGCGUAGCUGAGGAACAGGAGUAAGCAUGACACUGUCUCCUAAUCAGGGGUGAAACAUUUCCUGCCUAUCUGAAUUUAUGGUUGUGGUAGGAGUUGCACUGUCUUCAGGAGUUAGAGGUUAAUCUUUUAGACAUUGUUGUUCCCAUCUCCUAUAGAAACAAUACUUGCGUUGCAGGAAUGUGUGAUCAAAUUUAUUUAUUGCACCAUUUAAAUCAAUUAUGUUGUAAUAACUUCUACCCUAAAUAGGAUAAGGUGCAUAAAGCCAUAAGAUCCUUUUAAAAUGUUUCUUUAAACUUAUGAUUUUCUCCUUGAGAAGUACAGGGCUGAAGUAAAUGCACUGCCUAAGCGAGCAAUGAAAAUUACAGUCUAAAAAAUCAAAUGCCAAAAUGCCCAAAGCUUUCAUGACUUGGAACAAAAAGAAGAAAAGAUCUGUCUCUAUUUCAGCUGCCCACUGCUUUACCAUAUAUGAAGGUGACCCUGCACAGCCCUUUUCCCAUGUUUUAUAAUGGAGCAGGGCAGGCUGUAAGUGGUUGAUGCCAAGGGGAUAGGUUUUCAAUUGGUUUCAACCCCAGGCAUGUUCCCAGAACUGCUGGCACUGUGCAUCCCACCUGGGGGCCUGGCAGCCAAUGUGCAAUCAUCACCUGCUGUCAGCGAGCCUGUUACGUGCCUUUGACCUAGAAAGAUAAUAAUAUCCUGAUAACAAUAACAGAGCUUGUGUGAGAUGAUGGAUUCUGCCAUGUGCAAGAGCUGGUCUUGAGGGGACCUGAACUGGGAGCUAUGUAGGUUUUGUGAUCCAAAGGAAAUAAUAAGCAUGUGGCAGCUCUGUACCAGCAUGGCUCUGUGUCUACACUCCUCUUUCUGUCUCUGCCCCUCUCUACCUGCCAUUGCUUUCCUGGGGUCAUCCAUAGUGGCCAAUACAUCAUCCAAGGCUGACCUUUACAGAUAUAAUGUCAUCUCUGCCCAUCUGUAGCAGAGUCAAGGGCACCACCUUCUUUGAACAGCAGGUAGAGAAGAUGGUAUCUGCUCAAACAAAAUGCAGCUACUCCUAAAAUGUUUCCUCAGUGACUGUGCUGAAGCCCACUUAAUCUAGAAAAUAAGUCAUCAGUGCUCUGCUGAUAAUGUGCAAGAGCAGGGGAGAUAUAUAAUGAAUAGAUGAUGUUUGAUCUUUAGGGUGAUUCUUCAUAAUUACGCAUAAAAAGCUAAGUGGAAAAAUGACCGAGUGAGGCUUCUCUCUGCACUUGAUGACUUUGGCUCCUGGGGAAAGCCUUUGAGUCACCCUUAUGCAGGUCUAGUAUGUGAGAGGAGCAGAAGAAGAAUGUUAGAGUCAUCCUAGGUGCAAAACCUGUGGAGUAAUGCAUAGAAGGAGCAGGAAGUGUCGUGUUUCCCCAUAAGCAAAGCAGAAGCAAAUCCCCUAUAUGAAAGGGGUGUUUCUUGUGAGGGAGAAUAUCAAAUCUAGUGAUAACCAAAGGAAGCUUUUCUUCUCUUAUGGCCAUGAGUGGCUCAGAAUUAGAUCAGGUAGAGAAACUGUAAGUGUGCUUCAUCCAUCAUACAUGUCAGCUUUUUGAAAAGUCAUCUCUGCAAUAAACAGAAAAGGUUAUCUUCCAACUACAUAAAGCUUUGUCCAGUAAACAAACUUUUUUUUUUGAGGAACUCUCCUGCCAGGGAAUAGGGGAAAGAUCCAGCUUUCAAUCAAUGUCUUUUACCACUCUAUUUUUUUUUCCUGUUCAUUUUCCCAUUUGUUCCUUUCAAUCACAGAUUUCCUUGUUCUUUCUCUUGAACGAACUUUUACAAAAGAUGAGAGUACAGGAAAUAAGGCUAAAGAGUGUUGUCUACUGGUCCUCCUCAUCUUUGAGCAGUUACCUCUGAGUCAGUAUUUAGUAUCAACUAGGUUUGAUUAAAAAGACGGAUGUCACAAAUACAUUUACCCAAAUACAGUAAGCUUUAUGAGAAAUGAAAGCUGAAGAUCAGCUAAUGAAGAAAAAUCAAUAGUUGGAUAGUUUGCUACUUUGCACGUGGUACACAACUGGACUAUCAACAUAAAACGUGUAUCUUUUAAAACCGUGAUCUAUACUGCUUCUUGCAGGGAGGCAAGUGGAGCCAGGACAGCUGGCCUGAAUUGGGGAAGUGGUCAUUCCAUACUGUAUAAUAUCACAUGGAAAGCUAUAAGCUGUGGGGAGUUGGCCAGGGAGCAGCUGCUGCUCAAGGAUUUGCAGUGUUGUUUGGUGGGGGGUAAGCUGUUGCCUUGAUAGCAUGGUGUUGGUUGGUGGGCAGAUGUGGUGUUAGUUGGAUGCUGGUUGAUGAGUAAUUGCAUUGAGGCUACAUAUGUUCAUAUCAUUGUAUGUUUGUUUCUGUUUUCCUCUUCCGUCUUAGUAAAUAGUUUUUAUCUCCAUCUACAAUUUCUGUUUUUUAUAGUUCUCUCCUUCAUCCCACUUACUGGGGAGAGAGCAAAUGUGUUGUUGAGCUGCCUGCUGGGUUAAACCACAUCAGAUUACCAGAUUGGCCAAUGCUGUUACUGACGGAGGUGACAACAGUGAAAUGAGCAGCAGGAACUAGGCUGAGUUGUUCUUUAGGUCUCAUGGUUUCUUGGUAAUUUCAGGAAGUCAAAGACUGGAGAAUCAUAUGGCUUUCUUAAAAUUUGUUUUUUGAUGUCUUGUGCGAGAACUUUAAAUAUAUAUAUAGUAAACAAAAGAAAAGGGAGCUUUCCUUUUAUUAAUAAAUUUCAAUUUGAAAGUGCUGAAUCUUUUAUUAAGGAAAUGUAAAAAGCAGAAGUUCCAAGGAAGAUGUGUGAAUAUAUUUUUCUGGUAAAUAAUUCAGCAAAAAAUCAAGUUUGUGCAGAAUUACUAACCUUGUUUUUACUCAAAGACAAUUCCAUGCAAAAAAAAAAAAA